rnacentral:miRNA from 1 species
CUUCUAACCCCGUUUGUCCCGAGCGAAGUCGAGGGACGUGGAUCCGGUUCCCACGUCCCUCGACUACGCUCGGGACAAACGGGUUCUCGCG